UAUACUUACAAUGGUUUUAUGUUUUAUAGAAUGGCAUGUUGGUAAGCAAGCAGAUUGAGAUAGUGACUUGUUUAGCAGCAGUUUAAAUUGAGAAAGCGGAGAGCAACACAAGAACAGAUUCUGAGUGGCAUGUUGGUAAGCAGGCAGAUUGACAUGAGUGACGUGUUAAAAAGGAGUGUUUUCACUUCAUGAAAUAAUAAUUUUAAAAAUGGAUUACAACUGAAGAAAUACCAGAUUCUGUUGAUUUAUUUGCAUAUUCCACCAGACCAACUAUCCUCAUUACCAGGCAGAGAAAUGAUGAAUAUUCAUUGCAUUCAGCUAGAACAGCAAAAACCAGCAAAACUGCAGAACUAACACCAAGUCAAGAACAACUUCUGAGAGGCAUAUAUAUCUUUCAGCGGGGCCAAGGGUGGUGGGUGGCGCGUAGGUUCCACGCGUGGCGAUCGCCUAUAAUGGGCGAUUGCUUCCGCUUGGAUAAUCCCAACUGUCUUAUUGCGCGAGACGCUGACGAAAUUUUCCAAAAAAGUUUCGUUAAGAUUUAUUGGAUUGUAGAAUAUGUGGUGUUUGAAAUACAGUACACUACAAAUUGUAGUACAAUGAAAA